GCCCAUGUGGUUCAGUGGUUAGAGCGUUGGCCCUGGCACCAAAGGGUAGCGGGUUCAAUUCCCACUCAAGGGCA
rfam:Myotis lucifugus cont2.23475, whole genome shotgun sequence.